CGCGGGAUGAUGGCGUGCGAGGCACGAUGGUGUAAAAAUGGCCAAACGUGCACCUGCGCUGAUGUUUCCCCUCCCGUGUGCGGCAUAUUGUAAUACUGGCUCUCCGCGAGUGUUAAAAUGGAUUUUUGCCUGCUGGGAUGGGAUAACGCCCAGUGAACACAGGAUGAGGACACCUGCACAGAUCUGCCAACCAUCAGCACCCACCUUCUGAAGGAAAUAUGGACCAUAUUUUGAAUCAAAAUAUGGACAGUUAUGGACCAAAGCCCAUAACUGGAGGUGAUAAGAAUGGACCAAAACCACAACCAAGGAAUGUGCAUGCUCUGAAAAGGUGGAACCGAGGAGGAGCCAAGCUAAACAGUUCUUGGAACAUGUAAACUAGUUUGGGGGGAAGUUUACUAUGUAAAAGUAACUUUUAACUGAAAAAGUUACUUUAUAAUUGUUUGUGAAUAUGUAACAGGCUGAUGCAAUAGAAAUAGUAUCUAAAGGGUGUUUCCAAACUGGCAGGUGUGCUCUUGGCUGGGUACCAAGAUGCCCCCAGCCAUAAUAACCUUUGCUCUAUGCUCCUUGUCUCCUAUUGUCCUUUAUUAAACUUUUUAAAUGU